CUACGGGUUGCAGCAGGCGCGAAAACUUUACAAUGCGGGAAACCGCGAUAAGGGGACACCGAGUGCCAGCAUAUUAUGUUGGCUGUCCACAUGUGUAAACAGCAUGUGUUAGCAAGGGCCGGGCGAAGACCGGUGCCAGCCGCCGCGGUAACACCGGCGGCCCGAGUGGUAAUCACUAUUAUUGGGUCUAAAGGGUCCGUAGCCGGUUUGAUCAGUCUUUCGGGAAAUCUGAUAGCUUAACUAUCAGGCUUCCGGGGGAUACUGUCAGACUUGGGACCGGGAGAGGUAAGAGGUACUACAGGGGUAGGAGUGAAAUCUUGUAAUCCCUGUGGGACCACCGGUGGCGAAGGCGUUUUACCAGAACGGGUCCGACGGUGAGGGACGAAAGCUGGGGGCACGAACCGGAUUAGAUACCCGGGUAGUC
rnacentral:rRNA from 1 species